CCUACGGGUGGCAGCAGUAGGGAAUAUUGGUCAAUGGGCGAAAGCCUGAAGCAGCAACGCCGCGUGGAGGAUGAAGGUUUUCGGGUUGUAAACUUCUUUUGUUAGAGAAGAUUAUGACGGUAUCUCUCCAGAAUGACACGGCUCUCGCCGGGUCCGACGCGGCGGUAAUACGUAGGUGGCAAGCGUUAUCCGGAUUUAUUGGGUGUAAAGGGAGCGUAGGCGGGGUUUCAAGUCUGAUGUGAAAUCCCUCGGCGUAACCGGAGUAGUGCAUUUGAAACUGGUGUACUUGAGUACAGGAGAGGAAGGUGGAAGUCCAAGUGUAGCGGUGAAAUGCGUAGAUAUAAGGAAGAACACCAGUGGCGAAGGCGGCUCGCUGGACAGUAACUGACGCUGAGGCGCGAAAGCGUGGGUAGCAAACAGGAUUAGAUACCCUAGUAGUC
rnacentral:rRNA from 1 species